GAUGAACGCUGGCGGCGUGCCUAAUACAUGCAAGUCGAGCGAACAGACGAGGAGCUUGCUCCUCUGACGUUAGCGGCGGACGGGUGAGUAACACGUGGAUAACCUACCUAUAAGACUGGGAUAACUUCGGGAAACCGGAGCUAAUACCGGAUAACAUGUUGAACCGCAUGGUUCAACAGUGAAAGACGGUCUUGCUGUCACUUAUAGAUGGAUCCGCGCCGCAUUAGCUAGUUGGUAAGGUAACGGCUUACCAAGGCAACGAUGCGUAGCCGACCUGAGAGGGUGAUCGGCCACACUGGAACUGAGACACGGUCCAGACUCCGACGGGAGGCAGCAGUAGGGAAUCUUCCGCAAUGGGCGAAAGCCUGACGGAGCAACGCCGCGUGAGUGAUGAAGGUCUUCGGAUCGUAAAACUCUGUUAUUAGGGAGGAACAAAUGUGUAAGUAACUAUGCACGUCUUGACGGUACCUAAUCAGAAAGCCACGGCUAACUACGUG
rnacentral:rRNA from 1 species